rnacentral:misc_RNA from 1 species
UGAAUUGCGAUAACUAAUGUGACUUGCUUUCAUUUGUGAAUCAUUGAAUUUUUGAACGCACCUUGCACUUUUGGAGUCUAUUCAAAAGUAUACCUGUUUGAGUAUCAUAAACAUUUAUCCAAAGGAAAUUAUUUUGUAUUGAAAGAUACAAGGUAUUUGACGGCGGGACUUGAGUGUUCAGUUUCUUAGGAGACUGUCUCUUUAAAUGUAUCUGAAGAAAACUGAGCGAAAUGCGCUUGGCUUUAUAUUGAGGAUAUUUACUCUAGUAGUAAAAUAAUCGAUAGGAAGUCAUGAAAGCAGCGAGCAGCCUUCAAUAAACGCUGAUGGAACUUUAACCUUUCAUUAGCAUGCACAAAUGUGAUCUCAAAUCAGGCAAGACUACCCGCUGAACUUAA